AACACGACUCUCGGCAACGGAUAUCUAGGCUCUCGCAUCGAUGAAGAACGUAGCGAAAUGCGAUACUUGGUGUGAAUUGCAGAAUCCCGUGAACCAUCGAGUCUUUGAACGCAAGUUGCGCCCGAAGCCAUUAGGCUGAGGGCACGCCUGCCUGGGCGUCACG
rnacentral:rRNA from 1 species